GACGAACGCUGGCGGCGUGCCUAAUACAUGCAAGUAGAACGCUGAAGCGAGGAGCUUGCUCUUCUUGGAUGAGUUGCGAACGGGUGAGUAACGCGUAGGUAACCUGCCUGGUAGCGGGGGAUAACUAUUGGAAACGAUAGCUAAUACCGCAUAAAAUGGAUUAUCGCAUGAUAAUCCAUUGAAAGGUGCAAAUGCAUCACUACCAGAUGGACCUGCGUUGUAUUAGCUAGUUGGUGGGGUAACGGCUCACCAAGGCGACGAUACAUAGCCGACCUGAGAGGGUGAUCGGCCACACUGGGACUGAGACACGGCCCAGACUCCUACGGGAGGCAGCAGUAGGGAAUCUUCGGCAAUGGACGGAAGUCUGACCGAGCAACGCCGCGUGAGUGAAGAAGGUUUUCGGAUCGUAAAGCUCUGUUGUAAGAGAAGAACGAGUGUGAGAGUGGAAAGUUCACACUGUGACGGUAUCUUACCAGAAAGAGACGGCUAACUACGUG
rnacentral:rRNA from 1 species